rnacentral:misc_RNA from 1 species
GGCAUUAAUAAAUCGGCAAUAAAAUUGUUGGAAUCGCUUCAACAGAUCAUGCAAACUAAUGGAAACAAAUUUCGACAGUCCAAUUAUGUAACAGCAUGUUAGAAUACUAUUUUACAUUGGUCUAUAAAUGAGAUUUCUAACAAUUGAGAAAAUUUGACCUCUGACCAAAUCACUAAAACCUUCCUCUCUAUUACAACCACACCCACCACCACAAAAAUGUAACAACAAAGGAACCUAUGCAGGGCAUAUAUUGAUGCCCCUUCCUCACAGUUCACGCGGCUAACAAGGAACUAACAGGGGAGACGUAAGAAGACAAAACAAAGAAAAUGAAAGAAAAGAAAAUGUGAACAGGAAAAUUAAUGCUGAUGAUUGUUUAAAAACAACACCAUUUACUCGGCUCAACAUCAGAAAACCUAGUG